rnacentral:rRNA from 1 species
CCUACGGGAGGCAGCAGUCGAGAAUCAUUCACAAUGGGGGAAACCCUGAUGGUGCGACGCCGCGUGGGGGAAUGAAGGUCUUCGGAUUGUAAACCCCUUUCAUGUGGGAGCAAAUUAAAAAGAUAGUACCACAAGAGGAAGAGACGGCUAACUCUGUGCCAGCAGCCGCGGUAAUACAGAGGUCUCAAGCGGUGUUCGGAUUCACUGGGGGUAAAGGGUGCGGAGGCGGUUUCGUAAGUCGGGUGUGAAAGGCGGGGGCUCAACCCGGGGACGGCAAAUGUGACUGUGAGACUAGAGUACAGGAGGGGGAAGCGGAAUUCUCGGUGUAGCAGUGAAAUGCGUAGAUAUCGAGAGGAACACUCGUGGCGAAGGCGGGUUCCUGGACAUUAACUGACGCUGAGGCACGAAGGCGAGGGGAGCGAAAGGGAUUAGAUACCCGUGUAGUC